UGGGGAAUAUUGCACAAUGGGCGCAAGCCUGAUGCAGCCAUGCCGCGUGUGUGAAGAAGGCCUUCGGGUUGUAAAGCACUUUCAGCGAGGAGGAAGGGUAGUGUGUUAAUAGCACAUUGCAUUGACGUUACUCGCAGGAGAAGCACCGGCUAACUCCGUGCCAGCAGCCGCGGUAAUACGGAGGGUGCAAGCGUUAAUCGGAAUUACUGGGCGUAAAGCGCACGCAGGCGGUUUGUUAAGUCAGAUGUGAAAUCCCCGCGCUUAACGUGGGAACUGCAUUUGAAACUGGCAAGCUAGAGUCUUGUAGAGGGGGGUAGAAUUCCAGGUGUAGCGGUGAAAUGCGUAGAGAUCUGGAGGAAUACCGGUGGCGAAGGCGGCCCCCUGGACAAAGACUGACGCUCAGGUGCGAAAGCGUGGGGAGCAAACA
rnacentral:rRNA from 1 species